GACGAACGCUGGCGGCGUGCUUAAUACAUGCAAGUCGAACGGAAAGGCGCUGCUUUUGUGGGUUGCUCGUGUGGCGAACGGGUGUGUAACACGUGAGUAAACUGCCCUUGUCUUUGGGAUAACUUCAGGAAAAUGCGGCUAAUACCCGAUAGGAGCUCUUGCUGCAUGUUGGUGGUUGGAAAGAUACGGCGGUUCGGGCAGGACUCGCGGCUUAUCAGCUUGUUUGGGGGGUAGUGGCUUACCAAGGCUUUGACGGGUAGCCGGCCUGGGAGGGUUACCGGGCUCAUGGGUCCUGAGAUAGGGCCCAGACUCCAACGGGACGCAGCAGUGGGGAAUAUUGCGCAAUGGGCGGAAGCCUGAUGCAGCAACGCCGCGUGCGGGAUGCCCGCCUUCGGGUUGUAAACCGCUUUCGCCUGUAAUGAAGCGUGCGUGACGGUAAUGAGUAAAGAAGCACCGGCUAACUACGUG
rnacentral:rRNA from 1 species